CUCGCGCCCAACAGUCUUCAGGUCGGUUUUUUUUUAGGGGGGUGAGGCGUAGGGGGUGCUGAUGGUGUGAGAGGUCCGGUCUGACUUGAAGACACCCUGCCCUAGGUACCAGCUGGAGAUGUUCUGUCACUUCCAGGACGUUGAAGACCUGAAUCCAGCAUACUCACCGUUUGUAUUUGGAGGAACACGUGGCUGGAACGGAUUCUGGAAUCAUCCUUUGAUACCUAAAAUGGGUGUGCAAGUUGACAGUGGACAAGAAGGCGUCUGGGAUUGAUGGAUCAGAUGAUGGGUCUGUGAAGACAAUGAAGCCAGGAAUUCCCAGUGAGCCCAGCCAGCCAUGCCUGAUCCAUCAAGGGAGGCACAACAUGCAAACCAAUAAAGAUCUUUCUACACAAUUGAAAGAGAAGAAGGAAUCACAGGAGAACGCCGUGUGCACAGGUCGGCCCUUCCCGAGAUCUGAGUUUGGUGACUGGGAUCUCUCCGGAUCUAGAAAUAAGCCACCUGGUUGUGGCCUACCAGACUGUUGUGUGAGUCUCAGGUCCUGUAACAAGAAGAGAAUACGCACACGGGAGCGCUUGGAUGUGCACAAAGGCAAGUGCUGCUCCAUAGAGAGAAAUGCAGUCAUUAGAAUGAACGCCCUUGGCUUGUUUAAUGUUUAA
rnacentral:lncRNA from 14 species